CAGGAAUGGGCUGGGGCGCGUUUAUAGUUGGGAAUCCUGAGCCCGGGCUGUUGCUUGGAGGACUCGGGAGCAGCAGUGGAUUUCGGCGUUACCAGGAGAGCUAUGUAUGGGAAUGCCGCUAUGGAAAGACAUCCAGGACACCUUGUUAAGUGAAAAAAGGUUCAGUAUCUGAACACUUUUGCUAAAGGUGUCUGGAAAGCUCCCUGUGUUAAUUCUCGAUGAGACUACGUCUGUGCCGGCCGCUUCCUGAGCCUCUUUCCAUGUGCAUAGGCCUGCUGCAUGCUGGAGACCCGCGGCACAGCUGCCAAGUGCCCCGUGUGGUUCUGUGAUCUUGGGACAGUCACUUCCUCUCUGUGGUUGUCAGUCUUCUCAUCCCUAAGAUGGAAUAAAAAGGCCUACCUCAUUGGGCUCGUGUGGGUGAGGAGAACUGAAGAGUCUGAGAGCGCGGCACGAGCCAGAGGCUACGGAAAACACUGCCCUCCUACACUCCACCUUGGAGAGACCCAGAAAAGAACAAGCUUCAUUUGUAAAAAAGGAAAACAGCUCAUGGGGGUGGCUUAAAGGCACUCUACAGUGUGCAGAUGCCUUCUACUUCUUCCAUCUGCCCUGUCUUUCCAAGAACCCCUAUGGCCCCAGGCUCAGAACAGAGCUGAGUGCAGAAAUGAAAAUCUAUGGCUCUGUGUUCCAAAAUGAUGAAGAAUUUCAAGAUGGUGGCAGUGGUAAAAUCCUUCUCCAGGAAAAAUCUGUCCUUGGCCCAAUGUGUAAACACUUGCUGAGGAACUUGGAAUAACUUGCAGUGUCUUGCAGUAUUGUGAAACCAG
rnacentral:lncRNA from 1 species